rnacentral:rRNA from 1 species
CACGUAGGGGGCGAGCGUUGUUCGGAAUCAUUGGGCGUAAAGGGUGCGCAGGCGGCCGUCCAAGUCUGGUGUGAAAUACCCCGGCCCAACCGGGGGGACGCGCUGUAAACUGGAUGGCUUGAGUACAGGAGGGGGAGUCGGAAUUCCAGGUGUAGCGGUGAAAUGCGUAGAUAUCGGGAUGAACACCGGUGGCGAAGGCGGCUUUCUGGCCAGUUACUGACGCUCAUGCGCGAAAGCUGGGGUAGCGAACCGGAUUAGAUACCCCCGUAGUCCCUGAGCGGGCUGG